GAUGAACGCUAGCGGCAGGCCUAACACAUGCAAGUCGAACGGUAACAGCAGAGCUUGCUCUGGCUGACGAGUGGCGCACGGGUGCGUAACGCGUAUGCAACUUACCCUUAACUGGAGGAUAGCCUUUCGAAAGGAAGAAUAAUACUCCAUAGUAUUUCAAAGAGGCAUCUCUUUGAUCUUAAAGCUUUGGCGGUUAAGGAUGGGCAUGCGUCCUAUUAGUUUGUUGGUGAGGUAACGGCUCACCAAGGCUACGAUAGGUAGGGGGCCUGAGAGGGUUGUCCCCCACACUGGUACUGAGACACGGACCAG
rnacentral:rRNA from 1 species